rnacentral:rRNA from 1 species
GACGAACGCUGGCGGCGUGCCUAACACAUGCAAGUCGAACGGGGUGAAGAGCUUCGGCUUUUCACUUAGUGGCGAACGGGUGAGUAACGCGUGAGAAACCUGCCUUUCAGUGGGGGACGAACAGUUGGAAACGGCUGCUAAUACCGCAUAAUGCAUUUAGGGGGCAUCCCUUGAAUGCCAAAGCCUUAUGUGCUGAAAGAUGGUCUCGCGUCUGAUUAGCUAGUUGGUGAGGUAACGGCUCACCAAGGCGACGAUCAGUAGCCGGUCUGAGAGGAUGAACGGCCACAUUGGGACUGAGAUACGGCCCAG